CACUCCUACGGGAGGCAGCAGUGGGGAAUUUUGGACAAUGGGCGAAAGCCUGAUCCAGCAAUGCCGCGUGAGUGAAGAAGGCCUUCGGGUUGUAAAGCUCUUUUGUCAGGGAAGAAACGGUGAGAGCUAAUAUCUUUUGCUAAUGACGGUACCUGAAGAAUAAGCACCGGCUAACUACGUGCCAGCAGCCGCGGUAAUACGUAGGGUGCAAGCGUUAAUCGGAAUUACUGGGCGUAAAGCGUGCGCAGGCGGUUUUGUAAGUCUGAUGUGAAAUCCCCGGGCUCAACCUGGGAAUUGCAUUGGAGACUGCAAGGCUAGAAUCUGGCAGAGGGGGGUAGAAUUCCACGUGUAGCAGUGAAAUGCGUAGAUAUGUGGAGGAACACCGAUGGCGAAGGCAGCCCCCUGGGUCAAGAUUGACGCUCAUGCACGAAAGCGUGGCGAGCAAACAGGAUUAGAAACCCUAGUAGUCCCAU
rnacentral:rRNA from 1 species